UUAUGAAGUCAACUAGUUAUUACCUAGUAAAUCUAACUUACUAGGUUGACUUACAUGUAAUUUAACCUAACAGAACUAGCUAGCCACACAUUACCAAACCAGUAGUCACCAUUGUUUGGAUUUCAGGUGCAUGUGCCAAGAAAAUUAAGGUCACACUGAGGUCAAAACGCAGGGAAAUUAAUAUGUAGUCAGAAAUACCAUAUAAGUGUGGACGAGGCCUAAGCUGUUCUUUUAUACAUGAAUAUUUCCACAUUCUUAACAUGUGGAUUUAAGUUCUUGGAGGCUCAGAUGAGGGAAGUCAUGGAAGACCUCCCAGAAUAUCCUGACUGUAGGUUGUAGUUGUCGUUGCCCACAACCAUGGCCAUGAGCUCUGUGGGCUGGAAGAGGGACAGGAUGUUCCCCCCGCACACCUUCAGGAAGCCCGCAGAGAAGGCAGAGUACAGCUCGCUGACCGAGCCACUGAACACGUAGCACAGGCAGAGAGCAGCCCGUGGCUCCAGCACACAGCUUCCUGCCCAUGUCUUAUCUCCACCUGCCACCACAGGCCUGUCCCUAUUCAAUGGGUUCAACUGCACUUUCAAGAACAGAAAGACUCUGUAGGAAUUUUCAGAUGUUACCUUAUCAUAUUCUACAUUGUAUUGAAUUAUAUUAUUAAAUGUAUCAGUACUUCUCUCUGUACAAUUUAAACCUAAUAAGUGCUCCUCCUGGGUCUGUUUUCUAUUUAUUUGCAUUUUCUUUAAUCCAUCAACAAAAACGUGCACAUUUCAUAUUUCGAUCCAACUCAGCAGACCUAACAGACCUAAAACCAACAAGGCAAAAUACUUCUUGUAAUAAUCAAAAUUACCAAAAAAAAGCAAAGUCAUGCUUACUACCAGUUUUAAUUCUUAUCUGAGCCAUAACAACAGCAGGACCACCCAAACAUGGCGUCCGGAAAUGUUGUUCUCCCUCUCUAAAUGGGCCGGUUGGCGGCGGGCCAGGGGCGGUGAGACGGAGUGUAAUCCCACACAGCCGGCCUGGACUCAGGCAGGUGCGGUGUGUUGUCUCAGGAACACACGUCUACCACCGGGUACCGGCCCAUGUAUGGGCUUUACCCUCCUCUGCACUACG